GACGAACGCUGGCGGCGGGCUUAACACAUGCAAGUCGAACGGGAGCCGGGCUUUCGGGUUUGGUGAGAGUGGCGAACUGGCGAGUAACACGUGAGUAACCUGCCCCCUUCUUUGGGAUAACGGCGGGAAAUCGGCGCCAAUACUGGAUAUUCUUGCUGCAUCGCGUGGUGUGGCUUGGAAAGGGUUGCUGGUGGGGGAUUGGCUCGCGGCGUAUCAGGCUGUGGGUGGGGUGAUGGCCUGCCAAGGCUUUGACGGGUAGCCGGCCUGAGAGGGGGUCCGGCCAAACUGGGACAGAGACACGGCUCAGACGCCUACGGGAGGCAGCGGUGGGGAAUAAUGCGCAACAGGCGCAAGCCUGAUGCAGCGACGCCGCGUGAGGGAUGACGGCCUUCGGGAGGUAAACCUCUGUCAGUAAAGAGCAAGGAUCCUUUAUUUGGGGGGUUUGAGGGUACGUGCAGAAGAAGCGCCGGCUAACUACGUG
rnacentral:rRNA from 1 species